UACGUAGGCAGCGAGCGUUGUUCGGAGUUACUGGGCGUAAAGGGUGCGUAGGCGGUUUUCCAAGUUUGGUGUGAAAUCUCCCGGCUCAACUGGGAGGGUGCGCCGAAAACUGGAGGACUGGAGUACCGGAGAGGUAAGCGGAAUUCCUGGUGUAGCGGUGAAAUGCGUAGAGAUCAGGAGGAACACCUGUGGUGUAGACAGCUACUGGACGGUGACUGACGCUGAGGCACGAAAGCGUGGGUAGCAAACAGG
rnacentral:rRNA from 1 species